rnacentral:SRP_RNA from 1 species
GCCAGGUGUGGUGGUGCACUCGUGUGGUCCCAGCUACUGGGAAGGCAAAGGCAUUAGGAUUGCUUGAGCCCAGGAGUUGUGGGCUGUAGUGCACUAUGCUGACUGGGCGUCCACACUAGGUUUGGCACAUGGUGACCUCCUGGAAUAGGAACUACCAGGUUGCCUAAGGAGGGUGAACUGGCCUAGCUUAGAAACAGAGCAGCAAGUCAGAACCCCCUGCUGAUCAGUACUGGGAGGAAGCCUGUGAACAGCCACUGCACUCUAGCCUGGGCAAUAUAGAAAGACUUCAUCUCU